AGCAGCAGCCGCGGUAAUACGUAGGGUGCAAGCGUUAAUCGGAAUUACUGGGCGUAAAGCGUGCGCAGGCGGUUUUGUAAGACAGAGGUGAAAUCCCCGGGCUCAACCUGGGAACUGCCUUUGUGACUGCAAGGCUAGAGUACGGCAGAGGGGGAUGGAAUUCCGCGUGUAGCAGUGAAAUGCGUAGAUAUGCGGAGGAACACCGAUGGCGAAGGCAAUCCCCUGGGCCUGUACUGACGCUCAUGCACGAAAGCGUGGGGAGCAAACAGGAUUAGAUACCCGCGUAGUCCCUGUCUCUUAUAC
rnacentral:rRNA from 1 species